rnacentral:rRNA from 1 species
ACUAUCGUUAACUGAAUACAUAGGUUAACGAGGCGAACCGGGGGAACUGAAACAUCUAAGUACCCCGAGGAAAAGAAAUCAACCGAGAUUCCCCCAGUAGCGGCGAGCGAACGGGGAGCAGCCCAGAGUCUGAAUCAGCUUGUGUGUUAGUGGAACGGUCUGGAAAGUCCGACGGUACAGGGUGAUAGUCCCGUACACCAAAAUGCACAGGCUGUGAACUCGAAGAGUAGGGCGGGACACGUGGUAUCCUGUCUGAAUAUGGGGGGACCAUCCUCCAAGGCUAAAUACUCCUGACUGACCGAUAGUGAACCAGUACCGUGAGGGAAAGGCGAAAAGAACCCCGGCGAGGGGAGUGAAAAAGAACCUGAAACCGUGUACGUACAAGCAGUGGGAGCACCUUUAUGGUGUGACUGCGUACCUUUUGUAUAAUGGGUCAGCGACUUAUAUUCUGUAGCAAGGUUAACCGUAUAGGGGAGCCGCAGGGAAACCGAGUCUUAACUGGGCGUUAAGUUGCAGGGUAUAGACCCGAAACCCGGUGAUCUAGCCAUGGGCAGGUUGAAGGUUGGGUAACACUAACUGGAGGACCGAACCGACUAAUGUUGAAAAAUUAGCGGAUGACUUGUGGCUGGGGGUGAAAGGCCAAUCAAACCGGGAGAUAGCUGGUUCUCCCCGAAAGCUAUUUAGGUAGCGCCUCGUGAACUCAUCUUCGGGGGUAGAGCACUGUUUCGGCUAGGGGGUCAUCCCGACUUACCAACCCGAUGCAAACUACGAAUACCGAAGAAUGUUAUCACGGGAGACACACGGCGGGUGCUAACGUCCGUCGUGAAGAGGGAAACAACCCAGACCGCCAGCUAAGGUCCCAAAGUCAUGGUUAAGUGGGAAACGAUGUGGGAAGGCACAGACAGCCAGGAUGUUGGCUUAGAAGCAGCCAUCAUUUAAAGAAAGCGUAAUAGCUCACUGGUCGAGUCGGCCUGCGCGGAAGAUGUAACGGGGCUAAACCAUGCACCGAAGCUGCGGCAGCGACACGAUGUGUUGUUGGGUAGGGGAGCGUUCUGUAAGCCUGCGAAGGUGGCCUGUGAGGGCUGCUGGAGGUAUCAGAAGUGCGAAUGCUGACAUAAGUAACGAUAAAGCGGGUGAAAAGCCCGCUCGCCGGAAGACCAAGGGUUCCUGUCCAACGUUAAUCGGGGCAGGGUGAGUCGACCCCUAAGGCGAGGCCGAAAGGCGUAGUCGAUGGGAAACAGGUUAAUAUUCCUGUACUUGGUGUUACUGCGAAGGGGGGACGGAGAAGGCUAUGUUAGCCGGGCGACGGUUGUCCCGGUUUAAGCAUGUAGGCUGGUUAUCCAGGCAAAUCCGGAUAAUCAAGGCUGAGGUGUGAUGACGAGGCACUACGGUGCUGAAGUAACAAAUGCCCUGCUUCCAGGAAAAGCCUCUAAGCAUCAGGUAACAUCAAAUCGUACCCCAAACCGACACAGGUGGUCAGGUAGAGAAUACCAAGGCGCUUGAGAGAACUCGGGUGAAGGAACUAGGCAAAAUGGUGCCGUAACUUCGGGAGAAGGCACGCUGGUGUGUAGGUGAAGUCCCUGCGGAUGGAGCUGAGACCAGUCGAAGAUACCAGCUGGCUGCAACUGUUUAUUAAAAACACAGCACUGUGCAAACACGAAAGUGGACGUAUACGGUGUGACGCCUGCCCGGUGCCGGAAGGUUAAUUGAUGGGGUUAUCCGUAAGGAGAAGCUCUUGAUCGAAGCCCCGGUAAACGGCGGCCGUAACUAUAACGGUCCUAAGGUAGCGAAAUUCCUUGUCGGGUAAGUUCCGACCUGCACGAAUGGCGUAAUGAUGGCCAGGCUGUCUCCACCCGAGACUCAGUGAAAUUGAACUCGCUGUGAAGAUGCAGUGUACCCGCGGCAAGACGGAAAGACCCCGUGAACCUUUACUAUAGCUUGACACUGAACAUUGAGCCUUGAUGUGUAGGAUAGGUGGGAGGCUUUGAAGCGUGGACGCCAGUCUGCGUGGAGCCAACCUUGAAAUACCACCCUUUAAUGUUUGAUGUUCUAACGUUGGCCCCUUAUCGGGGUUGCGGACAGUGUCUGGUGGGUAGUUUGACUGGGGCGGUCUCCUCCCAAAGCGUAACGGAGGAGCACGAAGGUUAGCUAAUCCUGGUCGGACAUCAGGAGGUUAGUGCAAUGGCAUAAGCUAGCUUGACUGCGAGCGUGACGGCGCGAGCAGGUGCGAAAGCAGGUCAUAGUGAUCCGGUGGUUCUGAAUGGAAGGGCCAUCGCUCAACGGAUAAAAGGUACUCCGGGGAUAACAGGCUGAUACCGCCCAAGAGUUCAUAUCGACGGCGGUGUUUGGCACCUCGAUGUCGGCUCAUCACAUCCUGGGGCUGAAGUAGGUCCCAAGGGUAUGGCUGUUCGCCAUUUAAAGUGGUACGCGAGCUGGGUUUAGAACGUCGUGAGACAGUUCGGUCCCUAUCUGCCGUGGGCGCUGGAGAAUUGAGGGGGGCUGCUCCUAGUACGAGAGGACCGGAGUGGACGCAUCACUGGUGUUCGGGUUGUCAUGCCAAUGGCACUGCCCGGUAGCUAAAUGCGGAAGAGAUAAGUGCUGAAAGCAUCUAAGCACGAAACUUGCCCCGAGAUGAGUUCU